CUACGGGGCGCAGCAGUGAGGAAUUUUGCGCAAUGGGGGAAACCCUGACGCAGCAACGCCGCGUGAGUGAUGAAGGCUUUCGGGUCGUAAAGCUCUGUCAAGUGGGAAGAAACUGAUUGGCGGUAAUAUCACCGGUCACUGACGGUACCACUGAAGGAAGCACCGGCUAACUCCGUGCCAGCAGCCGCGGUAACACGGGGGGUGCAAGCGUUAUUCGGAAUUAUUGGGCGUAAAGAGCGCGUAGGCGGUCUUUUAAGUCAGAUGUGAAAGCCCGGGGCUUAACCCCGGAGGUGCAUUUGAAACUAAAAGACUAGAGUAUGGGAGAGGGAAGUGGAAUUCCUGGUGUAGAGGUGAAAUUCGUAGAUAUCAGGAGGAACACCGGUGGCGAAGGCGACCUCCUGGACCAAUACUGACGCUGAGGCGCGAAGGCGUGGGGAGCAAACAGGAUUAGAUACCCGCGUAGUC
rnacentral:rRNA from 1 species